rnacentral:lncRNA from 1 species
UCAGUAUUUUGCCAGGCACCAGCAAUUUAAGAGCAGCCACGGGAUUUUAUUUGCUAGUGAGUCAUAAUGAUAUGUUAGUGUUAAUUAGUUUUUUCUUCCUUUGAUUUUAUUGGUCAUAAUUGUCAGUCUUCAUACACAGUAUAUCAAAGAGCUUUGUAAUUUAGUUGUCAAGUGUGCAAAAAUGACAUUAUCCUAAAUGGCACAUGUUUGGUGCAUAGGCAGGGAUUGAAUUUAGUGCUUUCUAUUGAAAGAUGCAGCCAUUUUCUUUGCUUUCUGCAUGGAGCACAUCGAAGACAUUCGUAAUUUAGUUGUCAAAAACAUACACACACUUAAGUAUUAUCCUAAAAACCCUCUCUGUUUUGUCAUUUGCAAACUAAUAGGCUUCUAAACCACCAGUCCUUUCAUCCCAUUUAAUCCUUACAGAUGUCUGUGCACUAAUAAACAGCUAAGUUCCUGCCACCCUCCUACUCCCUGGAGCAUGCUGGCGCUUUUGGUAGAUGCCUUCCCAUCCACUCGGUUAGUCAGUUGGCAGCACUGUAAAUACUGCCCGAUAUUAAAUUCCCCUUGCUAGGAUGGUAGGACAAUCUCAGAAGCAUUUGACUCUGGGCUUGAUUUAUAGCACAUCCUUCCCCUGACUCUCCUAAUCAGAUCACAUUCUGAUAAACCUCUGGAGCACCUGGCCACAGGAUUUCAUUAUGUAGACUAUCGCCUAUGGCUAUUUGUUUCCCUCAGUGUGGAGACUGCACACUUGACCCUGGUCUAGGAUAUUCUACUUUUAUUUUUAAGACUCCCCAUUGCAAAUGCAGGCACAUACUUUGGGGGAAAUUCACCACAAGGAAUGGAGGAUUCUAUCACCCCCACUCCCCCACCCCACCCCCUGCCCCAGCAGGGCUGGAGAAGUACAAUGCAUUUUUUUCUGCUCUGAAACUGGAAGCCUGUUUCUACAGGUCUACGUGCCAGCCUUCUGCCGCGCACUGUGGGGACCAGUGACUGUAGCUGAUGAAAAUUGAUGAAUGGUGGGUGAGAGGUUAAGAAGUGUCUUGGGAUUAAAAGCAUGCACACAGAUGCCAGAGCAGUGGGGAAAGAUGUCUUUCUCUCUCAGGUGGACAGGAAUUUAAUUUUGUCUCAAUUUGUUUUCACAAAGUAUGCAUGAAAAUAAAGAUUUUGGGGGGGGGAGUGGGGUUGAAAGUAUGGGUUUCAUAUGAUUUCACACAGAUUUCAAAUUCUACACAGUUAGGAGGCAGGAUUGGAGGACUAAGCCAGGGUCUUGCACAUGCUAGGCAAGUGUAUACCUCUGAGGAAUAUUCCAAGCUUCCUUUAAGUAGUUUUUGAGCUAAGGUCUCACUAUUUUCACAGGCUGACCUUGAAUUUGAGACUCUCCAAUGCCAGCCUUUGGGUAACUGGGAUGACAUAUGUGUGCCCACCCACGGGAUUAGUUUUGCAAGCAGUUGUUUGAUACAUGUGUAUGCCAUUAGAUACUGUAUGGCAGUUGUUCUAGUUUUCCUAUAAGAUAGUUUAAAUCAGAGUUGAUACUUUGUAGACAUUUAAAAUUUUUUUCUUUCUUUAAGUAUCUAUGUAAGCAAAACCCGGAAUUAAUUUGUUUUGGGAGAUAUUUUGUGGGGUUGUAUUUUACUUUAUUAUUAUUGUUAUUAUUGUUAUUAUUUUACAUAUAUUGAAUGAUACAUUUUGUUCAAUGGCUUCCACGAGUCUACUUUUCCUCUCUGAGGGGAGGUUUAGACACCAGGAUGCAAUGUACUAUUUGAUUUGAGGACCUAUAUUUCCAUGUUAAAUGUUUUCAAAUGGAAGAACAUGAGUUCAAAUACUUAUUUUCAUAUUUUACUUUUUAGCAUUAUGAUUGAUUUCACAAUUUUGUGUUUAAGUAUUUGGAAUAAAAGUUUAAGAUC